rnacentral:rRNA from 1 species
AGAGCGAACGCUGGCGGCAGGCCUAAUACAUGCAAGUCGAACGGACCCCUCGGGGUUAGUGGCGGACGGGUGAGUAACACGUGGGAACGUGCCCUUUGGUUCAGAACAACUCAGGGAAACUUGAGCUAAUACUGAAAUGUGCCCUUCGGGGGAAAGAUUUAUCGCCAUUGGAGCGGCCCGCGUCUGAUUAGCUAGUUGGUAGGGUAAAGGCCUACCAAGGCUACGAUCAGUAGCUGGUCUGAGAGGAUGAUCAGCCACACUGGGACUGAGACACGGCCCAGACUCCUACGGGAGGCAGCAGUGGGGAAUAUUGGACAAUGGGCGAAAGCCUGAUCCAGCAAUGCCGCGUGGAUGAAGAAGGUCUUCGGAUUGUAAAGUCCUUUCGACGGGGACGAUGAUGACGGUACCGUAGAAGAAGCCCCGGCUAACUUCGUGCCAGCAGCCGC